rnacentral:other from 1 species
GGAAACCUGGGGUGCUCGAUAAUCUUGUAAUUUUGAACCUACAAAACUUUAAACGGGACUCCUACAUCUCCGUAAUAUGCCAGGCCUCCAAGUUAUGCAGUGGAAGGCAGAAAAGCGGAUGCGGACACCCACCUAGCAUCAGGCUAGGAGUCAAAAUACAGGAACCGGCAUUUUGGGGGAGCU